AUAUGUGUGUAGGUGUGUGCACACGUGUUGUUUUGAGCCUUUAAAAGUUAGUCGCAUGACCUUUUACACCCUUCAGUGUAUAUUUUUUUCUAAGAAUAAGAAUACUGUCUUGCAAACAAGUAAAUUUUAAAUUGAUAUGUUUUUCUGAUCUUCCAUCUGCAUUCUGCCUUGCAUGGGCUUUGACUGAUAAAAGACUUUGUCUCAGUUAGGGGCAGUCCUAUGUGAGGUGUGAAUUUCCAUCGGUGAUCCUCUGAAAAUGGUUCUCAGAGAUGUGAAUCCAGGACCUCCUAUACUGGUUGCCUCUGAUCAUGAGGGAAGGAGUGGAGCAGCAUUCAGAUAAGAAUUAGUGUAGUAAGGAAUAGUAGGAAAAGGGGAAUAAAAGGCAAGUGGGUAAAUGAUUACUAAUUUUUAGAGUGGUCCUAGGAAUUAUGCUUUCGGUUGGCAUAAUGGAUGCAUGACUCUCUUUCUGGAAGGAAGAGAGUCAACUGAGUUCACUGUUUGAAUUGCUUCCCUUGGUGGGAAGUGUGUUUUAUUUAUAUGCAAUAUUAUAAAAAAAUAUUUUAGAAACACACUGUAUUAUAAACUUUAAGCUCACCUCUAAAAAUACAAGAAAAUGAAAAAAUGUGCAUGAAGUUAAGUAAGAGGAGAUCUCAUUUAGCAUCUUACAGAGGAGGCUGUAGAUUUACUUUUUUAGACUUCUAGGGGAAAAAUACCAGAGCACCAGACUAGCACAUCAAUCAUUUGAAAUUGCCUGACAGUCUUGAAGAGGAUAUCCUGGCUGCAGAAAGCACAUAGCUGUCUUAAGGCUAGAGGCCCAGGUCAGGACAUAGUAAGAACAAAAGAUGAGCACUUUUGAGAGGAACCAGCUGGCUUAAGGUGAUCCAAAGUGCACAGAUGUUAAGGGCUCACUGUUCCAAUAAUACCAUUACCUAACACAAGAAUAACAGAAUAACCAUUAAAAAAAUUAUGAAACUUGAUUUACCAGGUUGACCCUUGAGAUCUGACAAAUGUGUUUCUUUUCCAUCAUGCUAAUUUUCUAUUUUUAUCUUAAUGUUAUUUUUAUAUGUGUAUUCUUGAAAAAUAAAAUAUACUGAAUCUUUCUUAGAAAUAUGUAUAGAAUCCUGUUCAUGUGAGAUCUUUAGUGGUUUUUUAAAUGCAUCUAAGCACAAUAUCCAAGAAUCUAUAAUUUUCUCCGUGUCUGCAUCAAAAUUCCUCAAACUCUAACACUGGUGGUUCUGUGGCAAAUAGAGAGAUGUUAGAUCUCAAGCCAAUUAUACAGCUUCUGGUGUGGCGUUUGAAUGUAAAAAAGGAGUAACGGUAACGUAAUCUCAAAACUGGUAAGAGCCAGCCUUGUGUUUUGAAUUUGUGUUUGACUCAUGGGGAAUAAUCAGGAACUGGAAACAAUGGUGGUUUGGAAAAUGUUAAUUUUGUCGUUGCUGAGUGUGUUAUAGUCUAAAGUCAUGAAAAAUGGUUCUACAUUCUUAAGACUGUGGUCAUUCCUUUUCUAUUCAAUUAUAUUGAAUACUUUGUGAGUAUAAGGAAUGUCACUGAUCAUUAUUACAUACCCUAGAGAAGCAUCACUGCAUACCCAUUAAAAAUAUUUAAAAUGAAGCACCAACCACAUAUACUAGAAUCAACAGCAUACAGCUUGACUCAGAGGUAGCCAAGUUUAUUUAUUUAACAAGUAUUAUUAAGUACUCAGUAAAAGCCUUGAGCAUAUCUCUGUAGCAUUACUGACUGCAAAGGUUGGCCAUGGAAAAAUUCCUUGUUGCAUGCACCAUACCGUACAAACCUCCCUAUUUACUCUUAUAUGAAGAUGUGGAAACAGGAAGAUUAAAAGUGUUCCUCUGUAACUAGUUGUUUCUAUUUUCAAUUCUAGGACAUAGUAACUGUAUAAAUAAGCAGAAUUUCAAAUUUUAUUAUCAAACUCUAAGUACGUCAUCAUUUGCUAUUUGUAUUCAGAGAAUGUGAGAGUGACACCAUCUAAUUGAGCUGCAGCUUGCUUCUUUUUUUUAUACCAUCAGAAUAGCUUCAUGAUGAUGAACUUUGACGAAUGGCUUAAACUUACUCACUUUUUUCUUUUCAAGUUAGUGUCACUUCAAAAAUAAAAAUAAAAAUAGGCACUCUUAUUGGAACUUUAGGAGUAAUACUGGGUAUAAACAGGCUUAGAAUAUACUUAACUAUAGUAAUCCUUCCUGACACACAUAGAGAUGAAUUGAUAACUGGAUUUGGCAUUUCAAAUAUUUUCUACCCAAAGCAAGGGCUUUAAGGUGUUUUCUUGGUAUUAGAGAGUUUAGAAAUGAAAAAGGUACCAUUUAUUAUUUUCUCUUUCUGUCAGCCUAGGACUUCUCUUUGCAAUCAUGUUUGUAAUACUGGGCCUAUCAGUUCUUAAAUGUUUUACCUGUUGAAGAAUGUUCCAUCAGAGGAUGUGCUAAAAUCUUCGAUUAUAUGUACCCAAGGUUUUGACUGAAUGUCUGAUACAGUCAGAUAAGGUAAUUUAUUGGAAGAGGACCUUGGACUUGGAAUCAGAAGUAAUGAGUUCUAGUCUGGAAUCUACAAGAUAAUUCAUAUGUGAUCUUGAACAAAUCACUUAGUGUCUCUUAAUUCUCUAUUUCCUCAUGUGAGAUGUGAGACAUUUCAGCCAGCCUGUAAUAUUCCUCCAGUGCAAAACACAUUCCAUCAGUUAAGCAUCAAAUAAAUAAGUCAAUUAAUCAUGUUAACCACAACAACUGAUCAGCCAAAAUAUUUAAGGUAUUUAUAGUAAGACUAUGAACAGUCUGAAAACUGAAUUGUCAGGGCACCUGGAUGGCUAGUUAAUUAAGCCUCCAACUCUUGAUGUCUGUUCAGGUCAUGAUUUAGGGUCCUGAGUUCGGGUCCCAUGUUGGGCUUUGCACUCAGGGAGGAAUCAGCUUCUCUCCCUUUCCCUAUGCCCCUCCCCUCGUUCUCAUAUGCCUUCUCUCUCUCUCUCUCUCUCUCUCUAAAAA
rnacentral:lncRNA from 1 species